rnacentral:tRNA from 1 species
GGGGGUAUAGCUUAGUGGUAGAGCACAUACUUGGUGUGCAUGAGGUCCUGAGUUCAAUCCCCAGUGCCUCCG